UGAUAGUGAGACUAAUAAAUUCUUUCAGCAGAAUUCAGCUAGACACACACAAAAAAAAGACAAUCACUACAGCCUUCCAAGAAGAUGGACUGCCUCACAAUAGUUUCCUUGAGGACUGUCUUGAAAUAUCCAGAGUUUAAGAUUCAAGAAACGGACUCUAUCUGGAAAAGGAAAACAAUAUCAAAGCUCCUCUGUGAGAAGUUGGCCAAGGAAAGCAUUCAGAAGAAAGUGGAGAUUCAUUGUUUUUACCAGAUCCAGCAGAUCACAGAAAGCAUCUAGUAGGGGAGUUUCCAGGAUUAAGCCAGCCAGUAGAUGAGACUAUUAUAUCAAAAAUACAUUUACUUGUACACGAGGGCACACAAAGCGUUGAUGAAACAAAAAGACAUUUCCGUCUGUUUGUAAAGGAUACUAUUUCACCAGGGAACACCAUCUCAGAAUUUAACAGAUGCUUUUACCCCGCCAAUAAGGAUGUAAGAAAUCACAUUUACAGGGCACCGAGAUUUUGCCAG